rnacentral:sRNA from 1 species
UGUCAAAAUCAGUGGCGAGCGGCGCCGCA